CGCUAUUAUGAUUUAUCAAACAUAUUAAAGAAGCACACUACAUUGAAGUUCACUUGAAAGAUGAAUGCCCUCUAUCCAAAAUAAAAAUCCCAGGAAGAACACUCCAGUGAAAGGGACCACAGAGUUCUUGUUCCAGCUGAGGAUGCCAUUCUUCUCUUAAUCAACUGGACUCACAAAGGCCAUCCAUCACAUGUACACAAUCACUGAGAGGUCCUGUACUCCUGUAGCUAUCACAAAACUCUGGUUCUGUGCUCUGCAAGGUUUCAAGGAAAAGAGGAAAAAAUGAAGGAAAAAAGACAAUCAUAACUGUGCAUGUGAAUGUUAUGAAUUCACUCAACAUGGGAAAAAAAACAUAAAAAAGCAGAACUUAGAAAGAAGAAUCCAACAAUAUGUUGCUUACAAG
rnacentral:lncRNA from 1 species